ensembl:snoRNA SNORA73 Small nucleolar RNA SNORA73 family
AUGAUCUGGAUACUCCGGGGAGGUCACUCUUCCCGGGCUCUGUCCAGGUGGCAUGGAGGAGCACAGGACUCUGCCCCAUGAUAUACGGUCCUGUUCCACAAUGCCAGAGGUCCAGCCAGGCCUGGAGUCUGUACCUGCCUAUUCCUACAGCUUCUCAGAAUCCUGCGGACAAUGACUGAGGAGACAAACCAUGAGGGGAACAGUC